ACCUUGGCACCUGGCAGGACCAAAGGAGUCGUGCGAUACGGCUGAAAGAGCGAUUGAACAUGAAUGAAUGCCAGCGAAAGAAGAGUUAGAUGAAUGAGAGAGUAGGAGGAACUAUGAGACAAUAUCCUGCCGAAGCGGUGCCAAUUAGUUAACGAGAUUUAAAAUAAACCGUAAUAGAGGCCAUGGCUAUCGAAAGAUGGUUCGUUAAUCCCUGGCGCUCUUUAUGUCGUCAUAAUUUCAUGCAACGACAAGAAUAAAUCGAUGAUGAUGAUAUUGUAACCUAAUUUGAUAUUGAUAUCGAUCUCGUUUCGUAAUAUCAUUAGGUAUUCUCUCGGCUAAAAAUGGUACGUUAAUUAGUUGAUUAAAUAAUAGUCAUCUGAAAAAUAUUGUCUAUAUUAUAAUAUUAAUAAAAACCUGCAGCCUUUUUAUAUGACAAAAUCUGACUAAAUUUAUGUUUUCAGGGCGAGAAGAAAGGAUUUCUAUCCAAGAACUUGUAUUCAAAUUAUGCGAUCAGUUUCUAUUUUUUUGAAAGAAUUGUAAGGGACUGUACCGGAAGUGAUACCGUCCAAAAAAGUUAUAAUUCCGCCCAGCUGGCUCACAAUGCGGAACUUACAUAAAGCGACAAUCAUGUUCACAUUACGAACGAAUUUGCCUUGGCAAGUUACGGAUCGUUACGUCAUAUGCCGUCACUUUUGCGGAAAAUUACGAAAUUACGCGAUUCUACAGAUAUAUCAUGCAUAAUUGAUUCGUCAUGCGAAUUUCCUAUGUUUAAGUUGCCGAAACAUUUGCGAAAACAAACACAUCGCAAGACAUGAGGUAAGCUCUCUCUAAUAUUCCGUCAUCGCGCAAUUAUCAUAGAUAUUUUGGUGAUUUUGCGUGUUGAAAUCAAACUUGAAAAAAAAAAAUGCGAGGCACAAUUUUCGCAACAUUUGAGAAAAACUGCAAAUAAAACCUUCCGCGAAAUUCUCUCAUAUUACUUCUCGCGUAAACGCCUCGCUAAAAUAGCCACUUUUCGAAGGGCAGCUUGACAUUUCAUUCGUGACGACGUUGUUGGCCUCGAAAUUAUUACGCAUUGAAGUUUGCGAAGCAAAAUAGAAAAACACUAAAUACAUUGACAUCAUGUGUCUAUGACAAAAUUUUCUCGCAUUUUUUCUUUUACAAAAUCUUAAUUCUUGAGUCAAAUGUAAAAAAAUUUCUCCUGUGGAGAAAUUCGCUACUUUUUAACGGAUAUAAAUUAUUGUCCGACCAUUGCCAUUCGCCGGCACGCCGCUAUGAUUUACAAUUUUAGAACCGCGGUCUCGGUCGCGGCAAGUUCGCGCGCGAGUUUCGCGUUUCUCAUCCGCAGCGUGAAAUCGCGCGAUUACGAUGAUUCCAUUAUAAAUGGGUCAGAAACGUCAUUAUGUUAGAGGGUGAGCUGCGAGUGAUUCUCUCGAAAUAGAUGAAGGCCCGGCCGGCAAAAAUAACGCGCACUCCGAACCGCGUACAGAAUCGACUGUUCUCUCGCGUCUUUCGUCCGUUUUCUUUUCGUUUGCGAUCUUUUCACUAGGAAGUGUCUCGUCCGCGGGACGGGAAACGCCUCUUGUUGAAACGUUUACAAGGUCGCAUAGCGACUGAGAAGGGAGCAAUAGCAAGGGCAAGAUCGUAAAAUCGAAAGAUCAUUUUCUUCUUCCAAUGACAUGUACCUGUAUUUUGAAUUGAAAGAAUUGAAUCUUGAAAAAAUCAUUUGAUCCAAAGAAAGUAAUUAACGUGUAGAAAUAUUUCAUCAUCUCGCCUCCGAAAUUGUCAGUUAUCGUAAAAAAAUAUGAUUUUUUAAAUGCAAUUUUUUGUAAUUUAAAAUAUGAAACAAUAAAAAUAUUUGCAGCGAUUAAUAUUUCUAGAUUAAAUUGGCUUUCGUCCAAAAGUAAUAGAACAAUAAUUGUUAACGCGCUAAUUUUAAUUGAUUGGAUUAUCAAGCUCGAUUGAAAUCUUUAUUUAAAGAUCUAUGAUUUUUUUUCCUUUUCUUUUUUAGAACAUUUUCACGAGAGUCACACUCGUUUGUACGUCGUUUUGUAAAAGGUCUCUCGAACUAAAUUCAGACGGAGCAAAACAGCUGUUUCGCAGAGUGUUUAUUGCUUGGCGACGGUGUCGAGAUGAAACUUGAACUCUUUGGAAAUUGAUUGGAACAUGUUGGCAAAAGGUAACGAAUAAAUAUUUUUACUUCAUUAACCACACAAUAUGCAAACAUAAAAUUAUGAUAAAAUUAAUUCCGUAAUCAAAAAAAAAGAAUCGAAAGUGAAUUCAAAAUAAUUAUAUCGCCGGUUAGUUUCUCCCAAGCGUUAUUCGACGAACAGAAUCAAGAAAAUGUCCUUAAUUCUGGCACGCGCUAAUCAGCUGUUAAUUGAACAACGUCUUUCUGAUCCUGCGAACAUUUUUCGAUUUUUACUCGGAUAGGAGAAUUCAAAAAACACAGAACGUGGGUGUAUUUUUAUAUGACGGCCGCUCAUGUUUCUGAGUAACCCAGAUCCCGUUCACGAAAAUAGAAUACGAUACUGAUGAACGGCAUCUGCAAUGCCCACGAUUGCGUUUCAUUGCAUCGUUAUUAAUGCGAAUUGCGUUCGCGCGAUUUUGCCUUUCAUCUCGACGACUGCAGCUGUUAUCCCGUGAAAACUAUCGCACCCUCCUUGGGAUUUCCAGAGAAGAAAACGCGAAAUUAAUUAAGCUCUUCUCGAAUGACCAAAUGCAAUCACGCUUGCAUACCGUGUGAAAGUUAAGCGACGCGAAAUCUAGAUCGCUCGGUAAUCUUAUUAUUCGAUGUUGUUAUUCGAUAUUGACGCGUCGGAGCUAAACUCGUGUGUCGUUAUUGAGUUUUGGUAUUUUUAGGGUGACCCGGCGACAUAGUUAGACUCGUGCGUUAUGGUUGUUACAUCCUAGCGUGCCCACGCAUAAAUGCCAUUCAGGCGAAAAACAAAAAAAGUUUUGUAGAACUAUUAAACAUAAUUUGAAAAUUUAUCUUUACAUCUUAAAGACGGAUUGGAAGAUAAAUCUCCUUAUAGCUUUUCUUACAAUAUAAAUCGAUUUUCAGAAAACAUCAGAUGAUCAACGCUUCGGAGAUUAAUUAAAACAUUUCUAAAGGACAUUUUUAAAAACCGUCUCGAAGCCACAAAAAUAGAAGUCCGAAAAUGCAAUAUGACUUAGCUCCGAUCUACUGACAUUCUCGUGUCGGAAAAAUUUCCCAUGGGAUCGAAAAAUUUGACAUAUCCUUCAGGCACCGCCACGAUAGUUCCAACAUAUUAUUUUAUCUGAAAUGAAGAAGGAGAAGGCGCUUGUUUACAUUAUAACUCUGGAUCGCAGCGAAUUAAAUUCACAGCAAAUAACGAGCAUGUGGCCAACCGGUGGCGACGGACUUUCCGGCAUCGUGGCGGGCCAACAAAAAUAUAUUCACACUUCGGACUUCCCACGAAUAAAGGCACCUUCGUGCUUUCGCUAGCCGCAGCGACGCACGAUGCACCCUGCUGCCGCCGCCGUUGCAGCUGGCGGCGAGUGGUGCAAUAUGCGAUCGCGCAAUGAACACGAGGACACGCUUCUUUCCAAAGUCUUGUCGGUAUCGCUGUCGCAAAACGUACGGCAUUCUGUUAAAACGACGAGAGACAUCUAGAUGCGAAAUUGCGAUAUUGCAAAUCGUCGCUAUCGUCGUUAAAAUCGCUGAUGAAAAUGUGUUCGUUUUAUCUGCCUCUGUAAAUCAAUCAAAUUAUUAAUGAUGAAAACGUUAACUUUAAUUACAACCGUUAAAUGUCCUAAGCAAAAUCUACAAUAGAUUUCUCCAAUUAUUCAUUAUGAACAUUGUAUUCUUUUUUUUUUUAGUUAGAUCUCUGUAGAGCUUUGUUGACUUUGUGUGAAUUGCUUUUAUGCAGAGAAAACAUUUUCUUCGAAGAAAUUUUACUAAAUGAAGUUGUUGCUGUGUAGACUACACUUUUAACGAUUCACAUGUAAAGAUUUUUGUUUGUAUAUUAUCUUAUAAAUCGAUCUGUUUCUUGUAAAAUUUUUUAUGCGCACCAGUUAUAGAUUGUCAGGCGUGAUCAUUAUAUAUCGAACUAAAAUUUUGUCGGCUUAAAUAAAACGUUUCGGAAUAGGCGGAACGAAUUAAACGCGACAAAUGUCUUGUCACACUAUACCAGUAGCAUGAUCCGACAAUGAAUUAUUGGAUUUCAAAGUGCAAGAGGGUAUUUCGGAACAGGCUCGAGCGUGCCAGACGCCGCGAUCAUGCGGACUUGAGAAAUCAGAGUACACACGUUUCCUAUUACGACAAUUUACGCCUUUAAUAGAGCCGUAUCUAUAUUUAUUUUACAGCAUACCUUAAUGUACUUUUUCAAAUUUCAUUUCUCCACAAAACAAAGUUGCAUAUGUUGCGAGUUAGUUAUUAUAAAUAUUUUGAGGGAUGCAAUCUGGGCAUACUAUUCCUAUUUUAAUGCGUUUGAAUCUGAAUUGUUUACUUGCAAGAAGAAAGAGAAGAAAAAUAGGCGCAAAAACAAUUCUGUUAUGUUGACUUAUGCAAUUGUGCGCGAUUUUUGGCCACAUCCCACUAGAAAAUCCCCGUGAAGCAUCGGGAAGUAAAUAAAACGAAAAAUCACACCAGCUUAUGGCGCCAGUGACAAGUAUAAGAAAUUACGUCGAGACAGUUCUAUACUUAGUAUUUGCAUUUGACGUUUGCUUGCACAAUUUAGCACGAAGUUGUCAAUCAGAGCUAAACAACAUCGGCGCCGGUCGAUAUUGCAUGCAUUAUUUUUCCAACAUAUGAUUUUCCUUUUCUUAAUAAUUAUUCGAUUUAUUACUAAUUUAA
rnacentral:lncRNA from 1 species